AGUGAGUGAAGACCUUUCAGCAAGGACAACAUGCUCAACCAACCAACUAACUACCGAAGUCUCAGCAAAGAGCAAAGGAUCGCUGCCUUGUCAUGGCGCUGGAGCUUGAGCACCUCAAUGAUGCCACGAGUGAAAUCAUGAAAGGACACCCAAGAUGGGAAGGUCAUGGCAGAGAGGUCAGAUCCCUGGGGAAGGUGCUGCUUCUGAAUUCAGCAAAAGAUGAAGGAAAAACUGAAAUUUCAGAGGCUUCCUCCCGCUCUUCUUAAACAAAGACAUCCUAUACCAUACAUCUCAUGUUAGAAAUCACUGUGAUCUAUAUUUCUCUGACAACCAGGUAUUCAUUUCAGGAAUUCCGACCUAAAUAAUAUCUUGCUCCAACUACACACUUC